UAACUUUCAUAAUUAUUUUAACAGGAGUGUAUAGUUUCUUUAUUUAAUCGGAUUUUGUGUCGUCAUUAACAAGCUAAUUCACUAAAUUCUUUGAAUAAAAUAUUGAUUAAAAAUUUUUUUGUAAAACAUUUGUUUCAGGAAAGCAAAACUAAGAAAAUGUAUAAAGUUAUUAUUGUCUUACUUCUUGUAACCUUGGCAACAGUUGAUGCGAAGGACUGUCAUUGUCCACCCCUUAUAUGUCCCCUAAAUGCAAGAUCUAAAAGAAGUCCAGAUACCCCAAUUUGUCCAUCAUGUCCUAACAGAAAAUGCCCUCCACUCAUGAUUAGACCCAUUAAUGAUUGAGUUCAUUGGGGAGAAUAGAAGGAAUUUACAGACAAGUGCAAAACUCUAAAACAGAAAAUUGAUUGAGAUAUUUUCAUACAUAUUUUAUUUAUUUUAGAAAUAAAGAAUUAUAUAGA